rnacentral:rRNA from 1 species
UACGAAGGGGGCUAGCGUUGCUCGGAAUCACUGGGCGUAAAGGGUGCGUAGGUGGAUAUUUAAGUCAGGGGUGAAAUCCUGGAGCUCAACUCCAGAACUGCCUUUGAUACUGAGUAUCUUGAGUUCGGGAGAGGUAAGUGGAACUGCGAGUGUAGAGGUGAAAUUCGUAGAUAUUCGCAAGAACACCAAUGGCGAAGGCAAUGUUCUGGCUCGUUUCUGACGCUCAGGUGCGAAAGCCAGGGGAGCGAACGGG